CCGAUGAGAUUGUAAUAAACGACUGCCGGCCCUGGAAUUGAAUUUUUGUGAAUGUCAAGGAGUUCAAGAACGAUAGGAGGGCGGUGUUCACAUAUAAAAAGCAAGGCAAAGUAUUACUGCAAGAGAUAUAUGAAGAGAUCAGACUAAUAAGAGAGAGAGAGAGAAAGCAGUAGAUAUAAAAGAAGCUUUUGAUUCGUUUAAUAUAUGGCACUGGAAAAAUUACUACUGUGAAACUUAAACUUGCUAUUAGUAAAAUUGCUAUUAGAAUUUUAGCAUUGAAUCAACAAAGGACAAACUAAAGAUAUUCAUGGCAGAAAAAUAAAUAUUUAUACAAGGCACACUCGAUGUGAAAAUGUCUAACAAAUUAAGUGAUGGAAAGCAUUAUUAAUAAUUUAUUGGAUAUAUUUUGUGAUUGUUCAUAUUUUAUUUAUAUACACAUAUGUCGAUGAAAAUACUUCAAUAAGUAUUCACAUUUUUUAACUUUUCUAAUAGCAAGAAAAUUGGAAAUAGAAAACAGUAGAUUAUGCAUAAAAUUGUCACCAGCUCUGAACGCGUGUCUAUCCUGGUCACUGUUUGAUCGAAGAGAGCAAAGGUAAAACCGAUAAAACCGAGAGGGAGAAAAUGUCUGACUGAAUGUCAGUAGUGGGUAGUAACUGAGAAACACAUUCCGCCCUCAGAUUUUCUUUCACCUGCAGACUCAAGCUCAAGAUUUAUCUGAAUAAUCGGUACAAAAUUCGUGAUCUACAAGAAUUAUUGAAUGGUCUUGAUAUCACGAAUUAAAAGAUGCCUCCAGCCUGUAUAACUAGAUUUUUUUACUUUAAUUUAACAAAAUAAUUAGAAAUAGCACUUUGAAUGCAAACUGUGGUCGCAAGUAGCGAUUUUUGCAAAAUUAAAUCUAAAAUUAUUUUCAAAUCUGCACAUGUAAAAAAUAUAAAACAGUAAUUUAUACA
rnacentral:lncRNA from 1 species